rnacentral:rRNA from 1 species
CCUACGGGAGGCAGCAGUGAGGAAUAUUGGUCAAUGGGCGUAAGCCUGAACCAGCCAAGUCGCGUGAGGGAUGAAGGUUCUAUGUAUCGUAAACCUCUUUUGUAAGGGAAUAAAGUGUGGGACGUGUCCUGUUUUGUAUGUACCUUAUGAAUCAGGAUCGGCUAACUCCGUGCCAGCAGCCGCGGUAAUACGGAGGAUACGAGCGUUAUCCGGAUUUAUUGGGUUUAAAGGGUGCGUAGGCGGCCUUUUAAGUCAGCGGUGAAAGUCUGUGGCUCAACCCUAGAAUUGCCGUUGAAACUGGGAGGAGCGAGUAGGUUUGAGGCAGGCGGAAUGCGUGGUGUAGCGGUGAAAUGCUUAGAUAUCACGCAGAACCCCGAGUGCGAAGGCAGCAUGCCAAGCCAUGACUGACGCUGAGGCACGAAAGCGUGGGGAUCAAACAGGAUUAGAUACCCUGGUAGUC